AAAAGGUUCUACAAAGGCUGUGACUGUUUCUUCUCCUUCUUCAAACCAAGCCAACACCUGCAAGAGAGAUUAGAAAACUCAGUGAAGAUACAGCUUCACUCUUGGCAGAAAGAAAAAAAAAAGAAAGCGAAGAUACUUUGAACAUGGCUUCACUACUUGAGACGCUUCAAUGGCCGGGUUCCCACAUCCUGUUUAACAAGCCAAAUUCAAAUCUGCGUUGACCCCAAGCAAUCUGAAGCAGACUGGCGGUGUCCCAGCGUCUAUUUCAGACCCCUCACAUCCUGGACAUCAACUGUUUCAACUCCUACCCUCAAAAAGAUGCUACAGAGCACUGCACACCAGAACAACUAGAGACAAGAAAACUGUCAAACUAUUCAUUAAGUACCUUAUGAUUCUAGAUGAAGGUAU